rnacentral:rRNA from 1 species
UACGGGGGGGGCAAGCGUUGUUCGGAAUUACUGGGCGUAAAGGGCGCGUAGGCGGUUCGUUAAGUCCUGUGUGAAAUCCCCCGGCUCAACCGGGGAACUGCAUCCGAUACUGGCGGGCUUGAAUCCGGGAGAGGGGUGUGGAAUUCCAGGUGUAGCGGUGAAAUGCGUAGAUAUCUGGAGGAACACCGGUGGCGAAGGCGGCAUCCUGGACCGGUAUUGACGCUGAGGCGCGAAAGCUAGGGGAGCAAACGGG